AUUGAACGCUGGCGGCAUGCCUUACACAUGCAAGUCGAACGGCAGCACGGGUGCUUGCACCUGGUGGCGAGUGGCGAACGGGUGAGUAAUACAUCGGAACGUACCUUAUCGUGGGGGAUAACGCAGCGAAAGCUGUGCUAAUACCGCAUACGCCCUGAGGGGGAAAGCGGGGGAUCGCAAGACCUCGCGCGAUUAGAGCGGCCGAUGCCUGAUUAGCUAGUUGGUGGGGUAAAAGCCCACCAAGGCGACGAUCAGUAGCUGGUCUGAGAGGACGAUCAGCCAGACUGGGACUGAGACACGGCCCAGACUCGUACGGGAGGCAGCAGUGGGGAAUUUUGGACAAUGGGGGCAACCCUGAUCCAGCAAUGCCGCGUGAGUGAAGAAGGCCUUCGGGUUGUAAAGCUCUUUUGUCAGGGAAGAAACACCGGCUCUAACACAGUCCGGGAAUGACGGUACCUGAAGAAUAAGCACCGGCUAACUACGUGCCAGCAGCCGCCGUAA
rnacentral:rRNA from 1 species